CCCUUAGAUGUUCUGGGCCGCACGCGCGCUACACUGAUGCAUUCAACGAGCCUAGCCUUGACCGAGAGGUCCGGGUAAUCUUUGAAACUGCAUCGUGAUGGGGCUAGAUUAUUGCAAUUAUUAAUCUUCAACGAGGAAUGCCUAGUAAGCGUGAUUCAUCAAAUCGCGUUGAUUACGUCCCUGCCCUUUGUACACACCGCCCGUCGCUCCUACCGAUUGAGUGUGUUGGUGAGGAGCUCGGAUUGGCAGCAGGUGGUGGUUCGCCACCGCCUAUUGCUGAGAAGUCCUCCAAACCGCCCCACUUAGAGGAAGGAGAAGUCGUANCA
rnacentral:rRNA from 1 species